rnacentral:rRNA from 1 species
UACAGAGGUGGCAAGCGUUGUUCGGAAUUACUGGGCGUAAAGGGCGCGUAGGCGGCCUUCUAAGUCAGACGUGAAAUCCCCCGGCUUAACCUGGGAACUGCGUCUGAUACUGGGAGGCUUGAGUAUGGGAGAGGGAUGUAGAAUUCCAGGUGUAGCGGUGAAAUGCGUAGAGAUGCGGAGGAACACCGAUGGCGAAGGCAGCCCCCUGGGCCGACACUGACGCUCAUGCACGAAAGCGUGGGGAGCAAACAGG